rnacentral:rRNA from 1 species
CCACCGGAGCUUGCUCCACCGGAAAAAGAGGAGUGGCGAACGGGUGAGUAACACGUGGGUAACCUGCCCAUCAGAAGGGGAUAACACUUGGAAACAGGUGCUAAUACCGUAUAACAAUCGAAACCGCAUGGUUUUGAUUUGAAAGGCGCUUUCGGGUGUCGCUGAUGGAUGGACCCGCGGUGCAUUAGCUAGUUGGUGAGGUAACGGCUCACCAAGGCGACGAUGCAUAGCCGACCUGAGAGGGUGAUCGGCCACAUUGGGACUGAGACACGGCCCAAACUCCUACGGGAGGCAGCAGUAGGGAAUCUUCGGCAAUGGACGAAAGUCUGACCGAGCAACGCCGCGUGAGUGAAGAAGGUUUUCGGAUCGUAAAACUCUGUUGUUAGAGAAGAACAAGGAUGAGAGUAACUGUUCAUCCCUUGACGGUAUCUAACCAGAAAGCCACGGCUAACUACGUGCCAGCAGCCGCGGUAAUACGUAGGUGGCUAGCGUUGUCCGGAUUUAUUGGGCGUAAAGCGAGCGCAGGCGGUUUCU